rnacentral:rRNA from 1 species
UACGGGGGGGUGCAAGCGUUGUCCGGAAUCAUUGGGCGUAAAGAGCGUGUAGGCGGCCCGGUAAGUCCGCUGUGAAAGUCGGGGGCUCAACCCUCGAAUGCCGGUGGAUACUGUCGGGCUAGAGUGCGGAAGAGGCGAGUGGAAUUCCUGGUGUAGCGGUGAAAUGCGCAGAUAUCAGGAGGAACACCGAUUGCGAAGGCAGCUCGCUGGGACGUAACUGACGCUGAGACGCGAAAGCGUGGGGAGCAAACAGG